AGGUAGGAGAUAUUGAAGGUGAUGCCCCAUCAGCUGAGCAAUUGCAAAUGUCAUCUUCUGAUGCAUUGCAAGAUAUGAUUAGUGAGGUCUUUCUCAUUUGCUGUCAGGGAUUCUUUGGUUAACGUUGGUCCUUUGAAGGACUUCUCCAAUGGGCUAAGGAUAAAUGCAGAUGCAAGUGCUUCUAGAAUUGCUAAACAGAGCAAUUAUGAACUGGUAGCUGAUGCACUUACUCCCCCCUUGUUAUAUACAAGUUUUCCUUGAUAUGAAUAAUGGGCUAUAUGCUUAAUCUUAACCGGUUUCGGUAGGCUCCUUCUGGAAAUGAUUACAAUGCCUGCUUCCUUAUUUCCUUAAUCAGGCAACAUUUAGGCCAUUUUGGAAUUUACUUAUCUUUAUCUGUUUUUUGUAAAUUGGGAAAUUUGACAUUAUGAAUGUUGGUAUUGUUUUAUAAAUAGAUAACUGUAAAUUUUUUUUUUUUUUUUUGGGAUAAAUUUUAGGUGUGCUGUUCAGGUCAUGGAAAGAAUGGUUCGCUCUAUGUUCUUCAUCAGUCAAUUCGUCCAGAAAUGAGUACUGAGGUUGCAAGGGAAUUUGGACCGUUUAUGCACGUGGUCAUAAUGCUGAGUCUUCCGAUGAUGAGUAUCAUGCCUUUUUAAUUAUAAGUCUGGAGGCUUGUAUAAUGAAAUAUAAUGCUGACCCAGCAGCAAAGGCAGCUGCUGCAACUAUCCUUGGCAUCCAAGUUGGGUGUGGAUUCAGGUCUAACAUUCCAUGUAGGAGAUGAAUCUUUAGUAGCAAGUAUAAGAGAACUUUAGCAGCAAAUAUUUUUCUCUUGCGACGAUUUGAUUGUAUCAUCUUUUGCUAUCUUUCAAUGUAAUUAGUUAGAAUGCAGCAGUCAUCAAGCUAGCUAGAAUGCUUUCUAUUUUGGUUUUAUGGUAUGAAUGGAUACAUGAAUGCUACCUCUUUUGGUACAUUAAAUGGUUGAAUUAGAGUAUUUCGAUGCCUAAA